rnacentral:lncRNA from 1 species
UUUUCUUUGAUUCAUACUUUCCAAACCUUUCCCCUGAACUCUACAGAUUUAAGACAUCAGGUUUCAAACUGGAUCAUUUUUCUCUAAAAUCUCAUUAUUUCCUCUUUAUUUAGGUUGUGGCGCUGCAGUUUGACGAAGAUCAGCUGUUCUUCUCUGGCCUCAGCUCUGAAGUCCAACCCCUCCCAUCUGAAAACUCUGUGGCUGUAUGGAAACAAUCUGCAGGGUUCAGACGUGGAGCUGCUGUGUGAUCUUCAGAAGAGUCCAGACUACAGACUGGAGGAUCUGGAGUCAGUAUAGAGUUGGAGUUAGUCUGUGCUGAUCUCUCCUGUUCCUCUCCACACAGUAUCACAGCAGAUAUUCAGUAUUUCCUGCUGACUCUUCGACCCUCUCAGAGGAUUAUCUCUUUAGUGAAGCUGUGAGAACAGAAAUCAUCAAACCAGGAGUGUAAGAGUGUCAGUGAUGAAAAAAGUGUCUCCUCGUCUCUAUAUUUCAGAUCAAAUGUAGAAAUGAGACAUAAUGAAACAGAAAUGUUCAGUUUCUGCUCUGAAGUCCAGUUUAUAGUUCUCUGUAUUCAACACAGACUUUAUUUCUCUGCUAACUUGUUGAUUUUGAGCUCUAAGUCUGAAAACAGACAGCUGUUCUUUAUACUUGUUAUUUUCACAGCAGGUUUGUUCGAUCAGCUUUAACACAUUUGACAGGAAUGAUUUCUUUAUUUUGAUGAUGUUGGUUUAUUUGUGAGGAAACCUGCUGCUUUACACCAUCACUUCUGGUCUGAGCAGGACUGAGACCUGCUGGUCUGUAAACUGGAUGUUCUUCAGUCCAGCUGAUGAAGUGAGUCUCAGAGUGGAAACACUGAACGUCUUUUUUUCUCUCCUCAGAUGGAGUUAACAUCUGUCAGAGUGAAUAAGAAGAGGAUCGUGUGUUUCCUGACGAUCAGAGAGGUGGAGGCAGCAGCAGUGAGGGUGAGGUGAGUCUCUGACUGAGAGACUGACUGACCAAUCACAGCGGGCGGAGAGGACUCUGGGAGCUGCACUUUGACCUGCUCUGAGAUCAGCUCAGGACCUGGACUCUGGAUAUUUGAUAUUUUCCCUCAUACUCUGGGAUCAAACAGUCUGAACAGGUUUGUUUUGUUGAUGGAAACAUGAUCAUAAAUUUACACUUUGAUUGGAUUACUUUGUUUUCACCAUGAUGCAGCGCCACCCAGUGGAAAUAUAAAGAGGUGGAGUUGAUUUAUUCCCUCAUAUUUCUGCAGCAGGAGUUGAUACCAUGUGUGAGAGUAGAUCAGUCAGAAGUUCAGAUUAAACCCAAAGGUUUUUUCUUUCCUUUGCACCGUUAGAGACCGAAUAUAAACUGAAGGGAGAGGAAGAGAAGUGAGGAGAGAUGGAGGUGAAGGGAGGAGGAGGAGGACAGGGUUUGGGGUUUUAACAAAAAUCUGAAGCUUUAUUCUUUCACUUGAUUAUUUUUAUUCAUCCGUUUUCUUCUUCAUUUUCUGAACUGAUUGUAAAUAUUGACUGGAGGUAAAUUGACCUUAUUUUAUAUUAUUAGACAUUAUUUUCCGUCUCUUUACAUGUUUUUGUUCUCAUAUCAUCUUUGUGCUCAUCAAUAAUCGAUUCCCUCCAGUUUGAACAAAUACAAUUAUUAAACCAUAAAUGAGACCUGAGAGUAAAAUUAAAAUGUGUGAAAUAUAAUCAGUCAAAGGAAAGAUUCUUAAACAAAAACAAAAUCAUUAUUUUUACUUUAUUAUGAUGGAGAAGUUUUCCUCUGACAGACAAAAAUAACCAUAUUGACCGGAGUCUGGAAAAAGUGAGAUCAGCAUCUAUUCAGGGUGAAGUCAUUAAUGUGGUCGAUGCUGUUUUAUAAACUCAGUGUUGUUGAUUACAAUCUCAGCUUCAUAAACUGAUGCUACAGUGGAGUGACUUCCUGUAAAAUCCACUGGCUUUGUGAGACCGUCAGCUUUCAGGAGAUCAGUUUGUGUUUCUGUGACACUCCAAAGCUUUUCUAUCCCACAGAAAAGAUCGGUGUGUUUUCAGAGACCUUCCUGAUCCCAUCCCUCCAAAAUAAAAAUAAUCUGAUGGUUUAUGGAUUCAUUUCAGUAACAAAGUGUCAUUUCUGUUGUUAGCCAAUCAGAGGCUGUAUCUGCCAUCAGCUGACCUGUAAAGGUCCAAUCAGAAGUCAGGACAGCUCAUGCCACAGUCUGAUCACACUACAGACACAUAAAACAUAGAACUAUUGUAAACAGAUUUGUCCUCUUCAGUUUAUCUACUAUCAAUAGAUCUGUGCUCUGUCUGUGUAACACUCUGUUGGUUCUUCAUUUACACCAGAUCAUUUUUUAUUUCAUUUCACUGUAACAAUGCCAUUUAAAGAUAAUAAAAACUUUAUUUGAACCAAAACAUGUUAAAAACGUCAACUCGGCUCGUUUCAUUCACUGUGUGCAAUUGAUUAUUAUUAUUUUUCAUUCAAACAGAAACUAGAUUUGGUCUUUAAAAAGUCCUCAAAGUGAGUCUGAAAAGUAGAGGAAGGUUUUAUCAUCAGGGUGCAGCACAGUUGUUUCCUGUGUUUUCAUUUGUGAUAUUCUCUCUAAGGUGUGUUAUUGUUCAUUUAAAGUAUGUGGAGGACAAAUCCACACAUCUAACAAAGAAGGUAAAAUAUAAAGAUAGGAGAUUUCUGCAUGACAUCAACGAUAUCCUGGAUUUAGUUUUCUAAGCAACAGGUGGUCGUCUUUUAUCGGGGGUACUUUGAUCCAGAAAUCUGAAAAGGGGUUACUAAAGCAAAAGAAGAAAAACCAGAGACUGUAUAUAGAAUGGACAGAGUCUGCCUCCUCGCUGGGUGAAGCCACUCUGAGAACAGCACCCUCUGUUGAUGGGCUGCAGUAUAGGUCAUAAAUCCCGCCUGCGCCAGCAAAGCUUAUGGAGCUGUGGACGAACUUUAGAAAUUUAUUACACAGAACAUAAUUUUUUCUCCCUCCUGGUUGUGAUGUUGACAUGUAGUUAUUGUCAGACUGGUUUGUGCUCAAGUCCUCUUUUUUCUGUGAAGCUCCAUUUUUAAAAGUUAUUAGGGGGUUCAUGUUUGCUAUGACGUUUCACAGCCAUAAGGAAUAACCAAUCGGAGCCUAGCACUUCUAGCCAAUCAGAUGCGAAGGAGGGUGGGACCUUCCCCUACCAUCCCACGAAAAAAAAAACCAAACACGUCCGGGUUUGCCGACCUUUAUUUCUGAGCCCCAGAUAACAGGACAGAGAUACCUAAAGCAUACAACGUGAACUUGUGUUAUCACAUCAACAUAUUUGGCUCCUACACUGAAUAUAAUGUUGGACAGUGAUCUUUGUAAAGUGAGGUGAAGGAGGAGUUUGUGUAGUGACAACACAAUCACACUGUGUGCAAAAAUAAAAACCUGUUCAACCAAAUCUUCACAUUUAGUUGGGGUAUGAGAAGAGGAGUGCUCAUCUGAAGUUUGUUGGUUUGACCAGCAGGUGGAGCUGCUGCAUUAACAAUAAACUGAGACUCAACCAAACAAACAAGUUCCUGUUUUAGUGAACUUUGAAUUUGGACUCAGGAGAGGAAGAUGGUUGUCAAGAAUACUGAACUUAAAGGAUGAUCAAUAACGGUCAGUAAAUGAGGAGAAGAAUCUGUGAUCUGGUGGUUUAGGUUUCAGUGAAAACAGUCAGAGUGAAAGUGAAAGUAUGUGAGCUGAAAAACAGACUCCAUUUUGAGAAAAGAAGAGAGAGGAGAGGACGAGGAGACAGGGUGAGUGUUUACUCUGUUUUAGUUUUAAUGUCAAACUCUUUAUCUGUUUUAUCUGUUAAUGAAAAAAUGAUUUACUGACUAAAACACUUAAAAACUGUAAAACAAAGAAACCUGAGCAGACAAAGAGCUGGAUCAGUUCUUCAUACAGGAAACUGUGUACGUGCAGUUCUUCCUCCUCUUUGUUUAGACUUGUCUUUUUGGUAAAAAUAUUAAUCAGAAUCUUUUUAGCGUCUCAUUUCAACUUUAAUCCAGUCUCCUUAAGUUUUUAUGAGAGUUCAGGGACCUCACAGCUGAUUUUGUUUUGACCAUGAAUCAGACAAGGAUCAGAGAGAGGCCCUGCAGGGUGGGGAGACAUCAGAAGUUCUUGGAUAUUAAACCUGUAUAACUCUUAAAGAGGGGGAUGAAGCUGUUUUUAGACUCUGUACUUCCUUUCUGAUUCCUCUUUUAUUUCUGAACUCUCUCUUCCUGUUUGUAUCUCACCUGUUUGUCUUCUUUGUCCUCAGGUUGUAUAACUCGGUUUCAGCCUCCAUAAAUUUGCACAACAGAAGAUGGAGAAGAUGAGUGUUGGUGUCGAGGAAGAGGAGGGCAGAGCAGAGUCUGAUAUGUUUGACUGUCUGUCUAUGAAGAGUGACCAGUCUAAAGGUUUUGAUAUAAACUUCAGUAAAGAACCAGGACCCCCAGAGGAGGACAGAACAAAGUCUGUUAUCUCCAGCUGUCUGUCUAUGAAGAGUGACCGGUCUAAAGAUCCUCCACCAAAAUUCAGUGAAGAACCAGGACCCUCAGAUUCACAGUAAGAGAAACACUUUUCAAUCACCAAACUCUCAAACAACAACAAUUGACGUUUCAAAUACAAAACUUUAAAUCCUGACCCCUCUGUUUUCUCCUCUGUUCUCAAAACACUGAUUUUCCUCUUAAACCUGCCAACCUGGAUAAAAUUCAAUUCAAUUCAACUUUAUUUAUAAAGCCCAUUUCAUGUACAAGGCAGACUCAAUGUUCUUCACAACAGGUGUACAUAGUUAAAAACAGUUAUACAAAAAUCAAUUAGAAAUCAAUGUAAGAGUGUAAGUGCAAGUCAACUUCACUGCAUGCACACUUAAACUCGUACAUGCGCACGCACUCACACAUGGACACGUGCACACGUACACACAUACACACACAGUUUAAAAGAAUGCUAUAGAAAUCUGUUUUUAAAGAUGGCUACUGAUGUGUCUAACUGUGUCAGGCAUGGUGUUCCAUUUUUGUGGGGCAUAAACACUCAAAGCUGCCUCCCCUCAUUUGGAUCUGGUGUGAGGGAUGAGUAAGUUGCCACUGCCUGUUGACCGAAGUGUUCUUGCUGAGGUGUAGGUGAUGAGCAUAUCUGUGAUGUACUGAGGUGCAAGGCCAUGUAGUGCUUUGUAAACCAGGAGGAGUAUUUUGAAAUCGAUUCUUGUCCUAACGGGUAACCAAUGUACAGAUUUGAGAACGGGUGUGAUGUGUUGAUAUUUUUUGGUACCAGUGAGAAUACAUGCAGCUGCAUUUUGAAUUAACUGUAACCUCUGAAGACUUGAUUUUGGGAGUCCAGUGAAUAAACCGUUAUCCAGUAGUAAUCCAGUCUACUUCUUAUAAAUGCAUGGAUGAAUUUUUCUAAGUCUGAUUUUGACAGAAAGCCCCUCAAUUUGGAGAUAUUUUUGAGAUGAUAGAAAGAUGAUCUUGAAUUGAAUCUUGUAAUGGAUAAAAGGCUGGUAAAGAAAAACUCACUGAGCACAGAUUUACUUAUUAUUGUUGAUGUUUAUAAAAAUGAAAGUCGUUUAAAACAGCAUUUGAAAAGGAUUCUGACUUCUUGUAUUUUCUGAUUUGGUUCCUGUGUUUGGGACGUUUUGAGCCUGUUAGUCUUUGGACUGUGGUCUGUAGACCCCAGAAAACAGUCUGUGGGUCACAAAAUACCAGAAGACCAAUGAAGAAAUAAAUCCUGAGAAAUAAAAACUCAUUCAGAGCAUCUGUCUGUUAUUAGACCUUUAGAUCUGAUCGGUGGAAAAAAAAGUUUUAAACUGUCAGAGAAAAUCUCUCUACCUUCAAAAUCACUUUAGUUUUUUCUCUUGUCACGACACUUCAGGCAGCAGCAGCUGAAUAUUUUACAGGAGAUUGUUUUAUGUUAGAGAAAAGAGAAACUCUGGUUUAAUAAAUGUUUCUUAUUCUGUAUCUUUCAAACAUGAAAUAAUAAAGAAAAUAAAUGUUCUUUAUUUCCACAGAGAGACACAGAGAUGUGACUCUGUGGAGGAGCAGCUGUCCAGAUGUUCUUUAUGUCAGGACGUCCUGAAGGAUCCAGUCUCUACCCGCUGUGGACACCAGUCUACUUCUUCAGGAUACACCUCCUGUCCCCAGUGUGGAAAAAGAACCAGAACAGUUCUUGUCUUUCAGACAGACAGCCAGUCCAGCUCUGAUCGAAGUAAGUCUGAACACCUUUAAACCCUAAAUUAUACAAUUUCUGCCAGAAUUAUUUUGCUUAUUUUAGCCAUAAAAUUGGCAGAAAAUGUCCUAUGAGUGAGUGCUUUUUUAUUCAUUGGCUUUCAACCCUGCAUGAGACUCGGCUCCUGUUUUAGUGUUUUAUGUUUUUUUUUUUUUUUUUUUUUUAUGUCUAUGCUUUUUUGUCUAUUUAUAUACAGCACUUUGGUUGGCUGUGGUUGUUUUAAAGUGCUUUACAAAUAAAGUUGAGUUUUACCCAUUUUUCCAGAACACUUCAAACUUUCAAUAUCUGGCUGUCAUUUACGAUUUACUGCCUGUUAAAAGAGUGCUAUAACAUUUUAAGAUAAAGAAAAACACAAAAACGGAAUACGAUUUUUUGAGUUUUAAUGAGAAAAAACAGAAAAUAUUCAUGAAAAACAGAUUUUUCAUUUGAAAUAAAAAAAAAUUAAAGAGUAUCAAACAUAUUUACAACAAAAACUUUGGAGUGCUGUCUCUCCAAGUGCAAAAACAGGCUAAAUAAAUACAACUAUGUCCACGCGUUUCUCCUCGUUUCUCCUCUCUCACUCAGAGGUCUUUGUGAAACUGUCAGAAGCUGUUCCUUUCUGUCUGCGGACACAGACCCACAUCACACCACUCACACUUCCAGGCAGUUCUCCUUAUGACAAAGUUUGCAGCGUCGUCUCCUCAUGCUAGUUCUUUGAGACUUCAUCUGUCCAUGGCUUGUUUGGGCACGUAGCUAUACUCUACUAUAAGCGAAGUGGAUGUAAUUCUCGGCGGGCAUGUGUUUCUCGGUACAACAUCAACGGUUGCAAAAUGAGAAAACGACGAGAAAACCGCCGAAGAUGAAGACUUGGUGGUAAGAAGAAAAGCAACGUCACUAACCUUUGAAGAUGAAGACUCGUUGAUUAAAAGAACGUCACUAACCAUAGAAGAUGAAGACUCGUUGAUUAAAAGAAAAGCAACGUCACUAACCAUUGUAGAUGAAUAUUCGUUGAUUAAAAGAAAAGCCACGUCACUUAUCUGUAAUUAUUUCGGUUACAAAAAGGAUGACGUCACCUAACACCUGUUCUGUGACGGCAGUGUCUUUCAUCUGUUUCCACAAUAACGUCCCAGCAGAACAAUAAAAACUAAAAAUAUCUCUAAGACAGACAGAAGCCAUUCUACUAACAUUCACUAAAAGAGGGAAGAUCAGUGCAGGUUAACUGUCCUCAAGAUUUCAGCAGAAAGUCAGAUUCAGAUCAUCUGCUAAAAAUUCCUCUAUUUUUUAAUAACGCUUAUAUAUCACAGGGUUGAACAACUUUGCAAUGUUAGUGUUUUCUAAUAUCAUGCUGUCUUAAUAGGCACACGUUACUACAAACUCACUGCCUUAGCAUGGUAUUCUAAUAAAGUCACAACAGGUUAUAAGUGUUGAUUUACUCAUAAAAUAACGUAAAUAAAUUAAAAACGACACAGAGAGCGCUUCAUUCAUCCAGAAACCAACACAGAAAACCAACCAGUCAAACUUUACCUUUCUCUGUCUGAAGUUGCUCUGAAAGCUUCUCCAUCUGUCCCAAAGUCGUCUGUAAACCUCAGUGGAGGUUUUCUCACUUGGGAGAGUUUAUCACAGACAUUUUCCUUUGAAAUAAUCCCUUUUUUGUCACUUUUCUCUCUUUUUGCUCCGUUUCUCUGCUCUGUUGUGUGUCUAUCCGCUGCUCCCUUUGAGAGGGGGAGAGGGGACGAGGAGACAGAUUUUCUCACUUCCCCAAACAGCAGGAGUGAAAUUACCGUAAUAACCGUUUAUUGACCGUGUGGCGCAACUUCUCAGCUUUCAGAAACCGUUGGAGAUUUUUUUUUGAUAGAACAAACUACCGCAAAGUUACGGUAAUUUAAAGAGCGCCUGUAUAAAGGUGUCGGCGCCGACGGACUGUGAGGAAAAGUCUGUGUGGAUGAAAACUCAGCUGACUGAUUUUCACAAAGACGUUUCAGUGUUGAGAAGUUUGGUUCAUUUUAUUUUUCUUCUCUUUCAGAUGAUGGCCUCCCGCAGGAGGUUUUAGAUGAACAUAAGAUCAGUCUGAAGAGGAGAUGUGAACGUGUGAAUGAAGGAAGUGAUGAAACAGGAAGUAGUCAAACCCUCCUCAACAGGAUCUUCACUGAGCUCUACAUCACAGAGGGACUGAGUGAAGAGGUGAACACCCAACAUGAGGUGAGACAGCUGGAGACUACUUCAAAGAUGAAGACCCUCCAUGACAUGCCCAUCAGGUGUCAUGAGAUCUUUAAAACCUUACCUGACCAACAGAAGAAGCUCAUCAGAGUGGUUCUGACCAACGGCGUGGCUGGUGUUGGAAAAACCUUCUCAGUGCAGAAGUUCACUCUGGACUGGGCAGAGGGUUUGGAGAACCAAGACCUCCAUCUGGUGGUCCUGCUUUCAUUCAGGGAGCUGAACCUGAUCAGAGAUGAGCGCUUCAGUCUUCUGAGUCUGCUCCAUGUUUUCCAUCCAACCCUAGAGAAGGUCACAGCAGAGACGCUGGCUGUCUGUAAACUUCUGUUCAUCUUUGACGGUCUGGAUGAAAGCAGACUGUCUCUGGAUUUCACAGACUCUGAGGUGGUGUCUGACGUCACACAGAAGUCUUCACUCAACGUUCUGAUAACAAACCUCGUCAAGGGGAACCUGCUCCCCUCAGCUCUCAUCUGGAUAACUUCUCGACCUGCAGCAGCCAAUCAGAUCCCUCCUUCACAUGUGGACAGGAUAACAGAAGUACGAGGCUUCACUGACGCCCAGAAGGAGGAGUACUUCAGGAAGAGGUUCAGAGAUGAAGAUCUGUCCAGAAGAAUCAUCCAACACAUCAAGUCCUCCAGGAGCCUCCACAUCAUGUGUCAGAUCCCGGUCUUCUGCUGGAUCACUGCGACAGUUCUGGAGGACAUGAUGAGAAGAAAGCAGAGAGGAGAGCUGCCCAAGACCCUGACUGACAUGUACUCACACUUCCUGCUGGUCCAGACUCAGAGGAAGAAGCAGAAGUAUGAAGGAGGACAUGAGACAAGUCCUCAGGAGCUGAUGGAUGCUGACAGUGACGUCCUCCUGAAGCUGGGGAGGCUGGCAUUGGAACAUCUGAACAGUGGAAACAUCAUGUUCUACCAAGAAGACCUGGAGCGGUGUGGUCUGGAUGUCUCAGAGGCCUCAGUGUACUCAGGAGUUUGUACAGAGAUCUUCAGAAGAGAGAGUGUGAUCUUCCAGAAAACUGUUUACUGUUUCGUUCAUCUGAGCGUUCAGGAGUUUCUGUCUGCAGUCUACAUGAUCCACAGUUUCACAACCAGGAACACAGAAGCUCUGAAGACUUUCCUAAGAAGCAACGAUGAUGAAGAUAAAAUGUCUUCUUCAGAGAUGGUUGACAGAUUUUUUCAAAACCUGGAUUAUUUUUUCUCAUCUCAGGAUGUCUUCCUGAAGAGUGUCAUGAUGAAAUCCCUUGUCAGUAAAAACGGUCACCUGGACCUGUUUGUUCGCUUCCUUCAUGGACUCUCUGUGGCGUCAAACCAGAGACUCUUAGGAGGUCUGCUGGGUCACACAGACAACAGUCCAGAAAUGAUCCAAACAGUCAUCAAGAACCUGAAGGAGAUGAACAGAGAAGAUAUCUCUCCUGACAGAAGCAUCAACAUCUUCCACUGUCUGAUGGAGAUGAACGAUCUGUCAGUUCAUCAGGAGAUUCAAGAGCUCCUGAAGUCAGGGAACAAAUCAGAGAAGAAACUCUCAGUGUUCCAGUGCUCUGCUCUGGCCUACAUGCUGCAGAUGUCAGAGGAGGUUCUGGAGGAGUUGGACUUAAAGAAUUAUAAAACAUCAGACCAGGGACGACGGAGACUGAUCCCAGCUGUGAGGAACUGCAGAAAGGCUGUGUGAGUCCAGGUUUUAUUCUCAGAAUAGUGUAAAUGAUCCCUGUAGUUCUUCUAAUGUCCACGUUACUGAUGAUGUUCUUCUUCAAAUAGAAAUCCACUCAAAUAUCAGGGAGGGGGUUUCUUCAGCAAAAACAUGAUCCUGGUGUCUAAAGUCCUGUUAGUCCAGGAUGAGGUCUACCCGUGGACCCCUGAGAACUUGUCCUAAUUGUGGAGGACCUCUUUGUUUUGAAUCGUGUCUGUAAUGAAUAAAGUGGAACUUUGAGGACAAAUCAGCGACCAUAUCUGAGGACACACAGAGGUCUUCUGAUGAUGGUAUCAGUCCAGAUCAACAUCUCAGUCAGUUGUGGUGAACUUGAGUUUGAAGAAGGUGUCUGCAGCUUCUUCCUGCUGGUUUUCAGGUUGGAAAUGAUGAAUCAGUUGUAAAUGAGGGUGUUGACAGCAUUGAUGGUGAAAAUAGAACUGGAUCAUUUUCUACACAGUGGCAGAACUGUCUUCAAAGAAAUGUUUUUAUCUGAACCAAACAGAGAAACAGGAGCUGCUGUGAUUUAGUGAGUCGUCUUCUGAUUGGUCAACAGUCAGUGCCUUACAUUAUAGCAGGAUGUCAACACUAAACACUGAGAGGAGCAUAAGUCAUGGAGUCAUUUGUCUUGAACAUCUAAACAGUUUUUUUUUUCUUCUAAACUUGGACUUCCUGUCUUCUCUCAUGGCUGUGGUCCUGAUAUUAGUAUCUGUCUGGUUAGAAACAGGCCGUCUGUCAAACCAAAGAUCAUGUUUGAGUUGUUUUUGGGGAAGAGAAACAUCAAAUAACCCUUUAAUAAAAUAUUGUUUGAUAUUUAUGUUGUUACAGAUUUUCUCUCUGUGGACUCUCAAAGACUCACUGUGAAGUUGUGGCCUCAGCUCUGAAGUCCAACCCCUCCCAUCUGAGACAUCUGGACCUGAGUAACAACGAGCUGAAGGAUUCAGGAGUGAAGCUUCUCUCUGCAGGACUGGAGAGUCCAAACUGCAGACUGGAGACUCUGAUGUGAGACACCAUUUCCUUCUGAUCUAACAAUAAGAUGUGACAGCUGCUGCCUUAGAUUUUUCUCUGUGGUUUUUCCAUCAACUUUGGUCGAGCAGUUUGAAUUUGUCGUUGUAAAACUUCGACACAGGAAGAAAAAUCUGACAUUUCAGAGUUGACUUUGAGGAGAACGAUGGAUGUAGAAAGGAAGCAGGAGAAAAUCAGUCCCACAAAUAUUACACAUGCUUGUAGAGGGCAGGAGCAGCACAGACUAAAGGCUGAUACUGAACUGAUCCACAGUUAAUGUGAUCACCAAUGAAUGAAUGAAGUGUCAGAGAAAUGAUGAGCUGCAGAUUGAAACCUGAAGAACAAAGUUAAUCCAACUCUGGAUAUUUCAUUUGGAAACUCUUGAAAACUUGAAUUUCUUCUUUGCUCAGUCGUGUUCAAAUGUAAAAACCAGAUCCAGAUUUGUCUGCAGUUUUCACUUCAGUUUGUUGAACAUGAACAUCAUCUUGUCCAGCUGGUCCAUAAAAACCUCUCUGAUCAAUGAUCUGUUGGUUUAUUUAAGAGUAGUUUGGCAGUUGUUGACAGCAGACGGACAGACCCCUGAAUAAACUCCUGACUGUUUUCAUCUUCAUGAAGAAUUCAGGACUACAAAAGAACCUUUGAGAUUUCUCACAGGAGUUUCUCAGGAUCUCACUAAAGUUUUCUGUUUCUGUAAAAUUUUCUUGACUGAUAAAUUCCUCUGGAUCUUCAAAAAGUUUAGAGAAGAUUUUACAAAGUUCCUGAAGAUCAACUCUGAAAAAGUUCUUCUUCCGUGUCCUUCAGGGUUCAAGAACAUUGAAUCAUUAAAAACAGGAACAGUUUCUUCAGAGGUUACAUGAUUUUUUUCUUUUUUCAGACUGUGACAGGUGUUUAUUAGUCUUUUUGACACGUUACAAUAAUGAGGAUAAAGUCAUGGACUAAACUUGGGCUCCCAGUUUCCUUGUUGUUGUUUCUUCAGCUAGCAUCAUUGUUUUCAUCACAGUUCUUAAAGUAAUAAUGAUGCUUCAUAAAUUCAGAGUCACAAAAAAACACCAAACAAACCAAAUCUGAAAAAAAUCCACUUUUUCAUCAAAUGAGUUUAAUCGGUCAGAACAUGAGGUUUGAGUUUUCAUGAGGAGGAAACGAGAAAGAUCUGCUCUGACAGUGAGAAACACAGACGCCUGAAUCUACACUGACAGACACACAAAUACAGACAGAGAGACACAGACAGAGAGACACAGACACAGACACACAAAUACAGACACACAGAGACACAGACACACAAACAGACUAACAGAGAUUUUCUUCUUCGUCUCUUUGCUGUGAUGACUGAAGUCACAAAAACAAAGUUUUCUUCGUCACUUUUAUGAUUGAACCAAAUAAGUUAAAGAACCAAACUCUCAGAUUUUCUUCUUCUCAAUAUUAUUUGAACCAUUUAGAUUUUUCUCCUGAUCAAUAUUCAAUGAUCAGAUUGAUCAGGUUCCUGUUUUGGCUCCACUGCCUCUUUUCUGCAGCUCAAUAACUGCUCAUAUGGUUUGAAAGGUUCCUGCAGUAAAACCCGAUUAGAGAGUGGACUAAAUGAAAUGUGAGUGAACUCAGCCAUCAGUGAAUCAAUGACAAAGUGAGAGGAAGAGUGGAUCUGUCUGCUGUCUGACCUUGUUGAUCCUGAUGAAGGUGAGGGAGAAGAGUAAAGCAGUAAAGGUGAUGUUGUUGCAGACAGAGUCAGCUGACCUGUCUCAUCAGAGUCUCAUCCAUUCUCUGUUUGGCAGAGCGCUGAUGUUACAGUCUGAGAGCACAUUCAGGUUCAGCUUCACAUGGGCUGGAUCUGCUCAAUACAAACUCUUGAGACCAGCCUGGUUGAGGGAGGUGGGCUCAGUGUCCUGGGUGACUCUCUCUGAGCUCUUCUUGGUUGAGAGUAUUUCUGGUUUGUCUCUGACUUCCAUGAACUCAGAUCUGGAGGAUUGCUGGCUGGUCCGGUCCAGUUCUGACAGUAGAGACAACACAGUCUGUUAUUCUGGGUUGAGUGUUCUUGUUGAAGAUCAGUGUACAGUGAGGGAUGAAGGCAGACAAAGAUCCUCCUGUUUCCUCCAUGUCACAGUUCAAGUUCAUUUUGAAGACUUUGAUUGAUACGAGCGCUGAAGAGGAACAGGAAACGUGGAGUAGAGAGUGAGGGAGGACUUACAGCAAAGGAUCAUGGGAGUCCAACCAGCAACUGCUGCAACAAGGACUCCACCUUCUGAUCAUCUGAACCUCUAAUCCAAACCAGUGCUCCAUCACAUUUGAUGUCUUGUCUGUUAUUUUACAUGGAGGGUCAGAGCAGACCAGAUCAUGAGCUCUGACAGACUGGAUCUGGUCCAAAGGUCUCCUGUUGGAGUUCUCUAAGCUCCAUAUUUUAAUCCUGAACACCUGAAGUUUGAUUAUUAAUUAUUUUUAUCUUCAUUCUCUUUCCUUUUUUCAGAUUGUAUAAAUGCAGUUUGUCAGAGAUCAGCUGUUCUUCUCUGGCCUCAGCUCUGAAGUCCAACCCCUCCCAUCUGAGAUAUCUGGACCUGAGUUACAACAAUCUGCAGGAUUCAGGAAUGAAGCUGCUGUGUGACUCUCUGCAGAGUCCAAACUGUAAACUGGAGACUCUGAGGUGAGACACCAUUUCCUUCUGAUCUAACAAUAAGAUGUGACAGCUGCUGCCUUAGAUUUUUCUCUGUGGUUUUUCCAUCAACUUUGGUCGAGCAGUUUGAAUUUGUCGUUGUAAAACUUCAACACAGGAAGAAAAAUCCGACAUUUCAGAGUCGACUUUGAGGAGAACGAUGGAUGUAGAAAGGAAGCAGGAGAAAAUCAGUCCACAAAUAUUACACAUGCUUGUAGAGGGCAGGAGCAGCACAGACUAAAGGCUGAUACUGAACUGAUCCACAGUUAAUGUGAUCACUAAUGAAUGAAUGAAGUGUCAGAGAAAUGAUGAGCUGCAGAUUGAAACCUGAAGAACAAAGUUAAUCCAACUCUGGAUAUUUCAUUUGGAAACUCUUGAAAACUUGAAUUUCUUCUUUGCUCAGUCGUGUUCAAAUGUAAAAACCAGAUCCAGAUUUUUCUGCAGUUUUCACUUCAGUUUGUUGAACAUGAACAUCAUCUUGUCCAGUUGGUCCAUAAAAACCUCUCUGAUCAAUGAUCUGUUGGUUUAUUUAAGAGUAGUUUGGCAGUUGUUGACAGCAGACGGACAGACCCCCUGAAUAAACUCCUGACUAUUUUCAUCUUCAUGAAGAAUUCAGGACUACAAAAAAACCUUUGAGAUUUCUCACAGGAGUUUCUCAGGAUCUCACUAAAGUUUUCUGUUUCUGUAAAAUUUUCUUGACUGAUAAAUUCCUCUGGAUCUUCAAAAAGUUUAGAGAGGAUUUUACAAAGUUCCUGAAGAUCAACUCUGAAAAAGUUCUUCUUCCGUGUUCCUUCAGGGUUCAAGAACAUUGAAUCAUUAAAAACAGGAACAGUUUCUUCAGAGGUUACAUGAUUUUUUUCUUUUUUCAGACUGUGACAGGUGUUUAUUAGUCUUUUUGACACGUUACAAUAAUGAGGAUAAAGUCAUGGACUAAACUUGGGCUCCCAGUUUCCUUGUUGUUGUUUCUUCAGCUAGCAUCAUUGUUUUCAUCUCAGUUAUUAAAGUAAUAAUGAUGCUUCAUAAAUUCAGAGUCACAAAAAAACACCAAACAAACCAAAUCUGAAAAAAAUCCACUUUUUCAUCAAAUGAGUUUAAUCGGUCAGAACAUGAGGUUUGAGUUUUCAUGAGGAGGAAACGAGAAAGAUCUGCUCUGACAGUGAGAAACACAGACGCCUGAAUCUACACUGACAGACACACAAAUACAGACAGAGAGACACAGACAGAGAGACACAGACACAGACACAGACACACAAAUACAGACACACAGAGAGACAGACACACAAACACAGACUAACAGAGAUGUUCCUCUCUGUCUCUUUGCUGUGAUGACUGAAGUCACAAAAACAAAGUUUUCUUCGUCACGUUUAUGAUUGAACCAAAUAAGUUAAAGAACCAAACUCUCAGAUUUUCUUCUUCUCAAUAUUAUUUGAACCAUUUUGAUUUUUCUCCUGAUCAAUAUUCAAUGAUCAGAUUGAUUAGGUUCCUGUUUUGGCUCCACUGCCUCUUUUCUGCAGCUCAAUAACUGCUCAUAUGGUUUGAAAGGUUCCUGCAGUAAAACCCGAUUAGAGAGUGGACUAAAUGAAAUGUGAGUGAACUCAGCCAUCAGUGAAUCAAUGACAAAGUGAGAGGAAGAGUGGAUCUGUCUGCUGUCUGACCUUGUUGAGCCUGAUGAAGGUGAGGGAGAAGAGUAAAGCAGUAAAGGUGAUGUUGUUGCAGACAGAGUCAGCUGACCUGUCUCAUCAGAGUCUCAUCCAUUCUCUGUUUGGCAGAGCACUGAUGUUACAGUCUGAGAGCACAUUCAGGUUCAGCUUCACAUGGGCUGGAUCUGCUCAAUACAAACUCUUGAGACCAGCCUGGUUGAGGGAGGUGGGCUCAGUGUCCUGGGUGACUCUCUCUGAGCUCUUCUUGGUUGAGAGUAUUUCUGGUUUGUCUCUGACUUCCAUGAACUCAGAUCUGGAGGAUUGCUGGCUGGUCCGGUCCAGUUCUGACAGUAGAGACAACACAGUCAGUUAUUCUGGGUUGAGUGUUCUUGUUGAAGAUCAGUGUACAGUGAGGGAUGAAGGCAGACAAAGAUCCUCCUGUUUCCUCCAUGUCACAGUUCAAGUUCAUUUUGAAGACUUUGAUUGAUCCGAGCGCUGAAGAGGAACAGGAAACGUGGAGUAGAGAGUGAGGGAGGACUUACAGCAAAGGAUCAUGGGAGUCCAACCAGCAACUGCUGCAACAACGACUCCACCUUCUGAUCAUCUGAACCUCUAAUCCAAACCAGUGCUCCAUCACAUUUGAUGUCUUGUCUGUUAUUUUACAUGGAGGGUCAGAGCAGACCAGAUCAUGAGCUCUGACAGACUGGAUCUGGUCCAAAGGUCUCCUGUUGGAGUUCUCUAAGCUCCAUAUUUUAAACCUGAACACCUGAAGUUUGAUUAUUAAUUAUUUUUAUCUUCAUUCUCUUUCCUUUUUUCAGAUUGUAUAAAUGCAGUUUGUCAGAGAUCAGCUGUUCUUCUCUGGCCUCAGCUCUGAAGUCCAACCCCUCCCAUCUGAAACAUCUGGACCUGAGUUACAACAAGCUGCAGGAUUCAGGAGUGAAGCUUCUGUGUGAAUUUGUGCAGAGUCCAAACUGUAAACUGGAGACUCUGAAGUGAGACUUUUUCCCUCCAUUCAAACAUGAUCAUGAUUUGUUUGUGAUGAUGACACUAAACUGCUGACUCAGGACUGAAAUACUGACCCAGACUGAACACCUUCAGUCCAGAGUAGAUUUUCUUCAUCAGUGGAUUAUUUGAUUGACUCCAGUUAGAUCACUGCUGAGCUCCAGUGAAUUAAAACCUGAACCCAAGAAGAAAACUCUUUGUAGAGUUCACAGUGAGAAGCUCAUUCAGACAGAAAACAGAAGCAGGGGGAGAUUUGUCAGAUGAGAACCAUUCAAACUUUUGUUCAGGACAAGAUCAGGGAAUAGAAAAAACUCAGAGUUUAGUUUCUGACACUGAUGAAAGUCCAGCUCUGUUACUUUGAAUUUUGUUUUUGAAUCUUUGUGUGAAAAUCUGAAUUUUCUGGUUUAUCUGCACUUUUCUGAAGCCUUACUGUGUUUAGACUGAAAUAUUUACCUCUCAAAGACGUGAAAUUUUUGGUUCAGCAAAGUGAAAAUAUUCUGAACAUCCUUUGUUUCCCAUCCGUCCUGAAGUCACUGACAUUUUCUGAAAAUAUUGAGCUGCAUCUACAAUCAGUAAAAAAGUCUCUGAGUUUUUUAUUUCACUAUUUAAUGUGUUUUUGAAUUCACUGUUUCAAACUGACUUCCUGUUUGGUUCAGCUCUUUGGAGCGUCACUUUUCUCUGAUUUAUACUUUCCAAACCUUUCCCCUGAACUCUACAGAUUUAAGACAUCAGGUUUCAAACUGGAUCAUUUUUCUCUAAAAUCUCAUUAUUUCCUCUUUAUUUAGGUUAAUGAGCUGCAGUUUGACGAAGAUCAGCUGUUCUUCUCUGGCCUCAGCUCUGAAGUCCAACCCCUCCCAUCUGAAAACUCUGUGGCUGUAUGGAAACAAUCUGCAGGGUUCAGACAUGAAGCUGCUGUGUGAUCUUCAGAAGAGUCCUGACUACAGACUGAGGACUCUGAAGUCAGUAUAGAGUUGGAGUUAGUCUGUGCUGAUCUCUCCUGUUCCUCUCCACACAGUAUCACAGCAGAUAUUCAGUAUUUCCUGCUGACUCUUCGACCCUCUCAGAGGAUUAUCUCUUUAGUGAAGCUGUGAGAACAGAAAUCAUCAAACCAGGAGUGUAAGAGUGUCAGUGAUGAAAAAAGUGUCUCCUCGUCUCUAUAUUUCAGAUCAAAUGUAGAAAUGAGACAUAAUGAAACAGAAAUGUUCAGUUUCUGCUCUGAAGUCCAGUUUAUAGUUCUCUGUAUUCAACACAGACUUUAUUUCUCUGCUAACUUGUUGAUUUUGAGCUCUAAGUCUGAAAACAGACAGCUGUUCUUUAUACUUGUUAUUUUCACAGCAGGUUUGUUCGAUCAGCUUUAACACAUUUGACAGGAAUGAUUUCUUUAUUUUGAUGAUGUUGGUUUAUUUGUGAGGAAACCUGCUGCUUUACACCAUCACUUCUGGUCUGAGCAGGACUGAGACCUGCUGGUCUGUAAACUGGAUGUUCUUCAGUCCAGCUGAUGAAGUGAGUCUCAGAGUGGAAACACUGAUCGUCUUUUUUUCUCUCCUCAGAUGGAGUUAACAUCUGUCAGAGUGAUUAAGAAGAGGAUCAUGUGUUUCCUGACGAUCAGAGAGGUGGAGGCAGCAGCAGUGAGGGUGAGGUGAGUCUCUGACUGAGAGACUGACUGACCAAUCACAGCGGGCGGAGAGGACUCUGGGAGCUGCACUUUGACCUGCUCUGAGAUCAGCUCAGGACCUGGACUCUGGAUAUUUGAUAUUUUCCCUCAUAUUCUGGGAUCAAACAGUCUGAACAGGUUUGUUUUGUUGAUGGAAACAUGAUCAUAAAUUUACACUUUGAUUGGAUUACUUUGUUUUCACCAUGAUGCAGCGCCACCCAGUGGAAAUAUAAAGAGGUGGAGUUGAUUUAUUCCCUCAUAUUUCUGCAGCAGGAGUUGAUACCAUGUGUGAGAGUAGAUCAGUCAGAAGUUCAGAUUAAACCCAAAGGUUUUUUCUUUCCUUUGCACCGUUACAGACCGAAUAUAAACUGAAGGGAGAGGAAGAGAAGUGAGGAGAGAUGGAGGUGAAGGGAGGAGGAGGACAGGGUUUGGGGUUUUAACAAAAAUCUGAAGCUUUAUUCUUUCACUUGAUUAUUUUUAUUCAUCCGUUUUCUUCUUCAUUUUCUGAAAUGAUUGUAAAUAUUGACUGGAGGUAAAUUUGUCUUAUUUAAUAUUAUUAGACACUAUUUUCCGUCUCUUUACAUGUUUUUGUUCUCAUAUCAUCUUUGUGCUCAUCAAUAAUCGAUUCCCUCCAGUUUGAACAAAUACAAUUAUUAAACCAUAAAUGAGACCUGAGAGUAAAAUUAAAAUGUGUGAAAUAUAAUCAGUCAAAAGAAAGAUUCUUGAACAAAAACAAAAUCAUUAUUUUUACUUUAUUAUGAUGGAGAAGUUUUCCUCUGACAGACAAAAAUAACCGUAUUGACUGGAGUCUGGAAAAAGUGAGAUCAGCAUCUAUUCAGGGUGAAGUCAUUAACGUGGUCGAUGCUGUUUUAUAAACUCAGUGUUGUUGAUUACAAUCUCAGCUUCAUAAACUGAUGCUACAGCUCAUGUCACAGUCUGCUCACACCACAGAAACAUUAAACAUAGAACUAUUGUGAACAGAUUUGUCCUCUUCAGCUAAUCUACUAUCAAUAGAUCUGUGCUCUGUCUGUGUAACACUAUGUUGGUUCUUCAUUUACUCCAGAUCAUUUUUUUAUGUCAUUUCACUGUAACAAUGUCAUUUAAAGAUAAUAAAAACUUUAUUUGAACUAAAACAUGUUAAAAACAUCAACUCAGCUUGUUUCAUUUACUGUGUGCAAUUGAUUAUUAUUAUUUUUCAUUCAAACAGAAACUAGAUUUGGUCUUUAAAAAGUCCUCAAAGUGAG